rnacentral:sRNA from 1 species
UCAUAGCCCCGAUAGAAGUGGAAAUCCUUUUGUGCCAGGGUUCGGCACAAAAGAUUGGAACGCAUAGCGGGAUCGGCU